rnacentral:rRNA from 1 species
AGCGAACGCUGGCGGCAGGCCUAACACAUGCAAGUCGAACGAACUCUUCGGAGUUAGUGGCGGACGGGUGAGUAACACGUGGGAACGUGCCUUUUGGUUCGGAAUAACUCAGGGAAACUUGUGCUAAUACCGAAUGCGCCCUCCGGGGGAAAGAUUUAUCGCCAUUAGAGCGGCCCGCGUCUGAUUAGCUAGUUGGUGAGGUAACGGCUCACCAAGGCGACGAUCAGUAGCUGGUCUGAGAGGAUGACCAGCCACACUGGGACUGAGACACGGCCCAGACUCCUACGGGAGGCAGCAGUGGGGAAUCUUGCGCAAUGGGCGAAAGCCUGACGCAGCCAUGCCGCGUGAAUGAUGAAGGUCUUAGGAUUGUAAAAUUCUUUCACCGGGGACGAUAAUGACGGUACCCGGAGAAGAAGCCCCGGCUAACUUCGUG